rnacentral:rRNA from 1 species
AUUGAACGCUGGCGGAAUGCUUUACACAUGCAAGUCGAACGGUAACAGGUCUUCGGAUGCUGACGAGUGGCGAACGGGUGAGUAAUAUAUCGGAACGUGCCCAGUCGUGGGGGAUAACGUAGCGAAAGUUACGCUAAUACCGCAUACGAUCUAUGGAUGAAAGCGGGGGAUCGCAAGACCUCGCGCGAUUGGAGCGGCCGAUAUCAGAUUAGGUAGUUGGUGGGGUAAAGGCGCACCAAGCCAAAGAUCUGUAGCUGGUCUGAGAGGACGACCAGCCACACUGGAACUGAGACACGGUCCAGACUCCUACGGGAGGCAGCAGUGGGGAAUUGUGGACAAGGGACGCAAGUCUGAUCCAGCCAUUCCGCGUGCAGGAUGAAGGCCCUCGGGUUGUAAACUGCUUUUGUACGGAACGAAAAGGUCUCUAUUAAUACUAGGGGCUCAUGACGGUACCGUAAGAAUAAGCACCGGCUAACUACGUGCCAGCCGCCGCGGUAA